rnacentral:rRNA from 1 species
CUCAGAGGCCAUACCACCCUGAAUGUGCCCAAUCUUGUCUGAUCUUGGAAGCUAAGCAGAGUUGGGCCUGGUUAGUACUUGGAUGGGAGAUCUCUCUGUAUUUCUUACAACAGCGUGUGAAU